rnacentral:rRNA from 1 species
GACAGAGGGUGCAAACGUUGUUCGGAAUUACUGGGCGUAAAGCGCGUGUAGGCGGCUAUGUAAGUCGGGCGUGAAAUCCCACGGCUCAACCGUGGAAGUGCACCCGAAACUGCGUAGCUAGAGUCCUGGAGAGGAAGGUGGAAUGCUUGGUGUAGAGGUGAAAUUCGUAGAUAUCAAGCGGAACACCGGGUGGCGAAGGCGGCCUUCUGGACAGUGACUGACGCUG